rnacentral:rRNA from 1 species
UACGAAGGAUGCAAGCGUUAUCCGGAAUUAUUGGGUUUAAAGGGUGCGUAGGCGGACCUGUAAGUCAGUGGUGAAAGCCUGUUGCUCAACAACAGAACUGCCAUUGAUACUGCAAGUCUUGAGUACAGUUGAGGUAGGCGGAAUGUGUCAUGUAGCGGUGAAAUGCUUAGAUAUGACACAGAACACCGAUUGCGAAGGCAGCUUGCUAAGCUGUAACUGACGCUGAUGCACGAAAGCGUGGGGAGCAAACAGG